rnacentral:rRNA from 1 species
UACGUAGGGCGCAAGCGUUGUCCGGAAUUAUUGGGCGUAAAGAGCUCGUAGGCGGUCUGUCGCGUCUGCUGUGAAAAUCAGGGCUCAACCCUGGACCUGCAGUGGGUACGGGCAGACUAGAGUCCGGAAGAGGCGAGUGGAAUUCCCGGUGUAGCGGUGAAAUGCGCAGAUAUCGGGAGGAACACCGGUGGCGAAGGCGGUUCUCUGGGCCUUACCUGACGCUGGAGGAGCGAAAGCGUGGGGAGCGAACAGG